UUGCAUUUGGAUCAUCUAUUUUCGUUGGGCUGUGGCAGCACACACACUGAAGGAUGUGGUCACUGUAUUCGUGUCCCUUCCACUGGUGAGCCACAGCUGGAUGGAAGAAAAAAACUCUGGGAUAUAAAGCACUACUGAAUGACACACCCUUCAGGACAGCUGCAGGAGAUUAUCUAAAAUGGAGCACACCUCGUGCACAGAGGACCAUUUGCACCACGCCCUGGACAGGUGCCUUUAUGGCCUGGGCCACAGCUCUCCCAACACAGCCCUGGAACGGCCCCAGAGUCUGCAACACCAUGAAGCACCACCAGGCAAGCAGCACCAUGAAGAUCAAGGAGCUCUCUGAACAGGUUCUUGAACAGUCCCAGGAUGUGCUGGUGGUCCCACUGGCUCUCCUGUUCUCUUCCACUGUUCUGCAGGUGAGCACAGAUACAGUAGACCGCCACACCACAGAAACUCAUCCUCACCACCAACCGUGACCGGAAACCCACGAUGCCUGUGAGGUGUUCCACUGUUUCCUGUCCUGGCCAGAGCCCUGCUGCAGCGCCAGCCGACACCUGCUCUCCCUCAUCCAGCAGGAGCUCAGGGUGCCAGGUAUCUAAUUUCACAGACUAGUGAGAGAAGAACAGGGCUUGACCACCACCACCAAUCACUGCAAAACUAUGAUGGUAUUGUUAAUGAGCCUAGGCGAGGAUGUCCCUCCCGAGCUCAUGUCUGUCUCUGAGCAGCUGAGUGGUGUCUGUCACUCCCAGAGGGACACCUCCAUCACCCUGAUCAAACAUGCCUUCCAGGCUGCCCUGAGGACCAAGUACCCCCUCCAGACACUGCAUCAUGCACUGCAGGUAUGUCCUAUUAUAUGUGAUUCCUAAAUGAUGUGUUCACAGUGUCACGUCUGGGAGAAUUUGCAUACCCCCUGCAGACUGCCAUAUAGGCCCUGGUGAGAGAAUUUGCAUACCCCCUCCAGACUGCCAUACAGGCCCUGGUGAGAGAAUUUGCAUACCCCCUCCAGACUGCCAUACAGGCCCUGGUGAGAGAAUUUGCAUACCCCCUCCAGACUGCCAUACAGGCCCUGGUGAGAGAAUUUGCAUACCCCCUCCAGACUGCCAUACAGGCCUUGGUGAGAGAAUUUGCAUACCCCCUCCAGACUGCCACACAGGCCCUGGUGAGAGAAUUUGCAUACCCCCUCCAGACUGCCAUACAGGCCCUGGUGAGAGAAUUUGCAUACCCCCUCCAGACUGCCAUACAGGCCCUGGUGAGAGAAUUUGCAUAUCCCCUCCAGACUGCCAUACAGGCCCUGGUGAGAGAAUUUGCAUACCCCCUCCAGACUGCCAUACAGGCCCUGGUGAGAGAAUUUGCAUACCCCCUCCAGACUGCCAUACAGGCCCUGGUGGAGAGAAUUUGCAUACCCCCUCCAGACUGCCAUACAGGCCCUGGUGAGAGAAUUUUACUACAUGCGUCAUCAUAAUCUCACCAUCUGAGGGGUUCCUGGAACAGAUAAGCUGGUCAACUUUGGGCAAACAGGACGGACUGGAGAUGAUUAGAGAGAGACAGAUGAGGAAGUCAAAUGUUGAGUAAUGAGAAACUCAGUGGCACAUACAAUGCUUGAUCCUACUUGAUCUGAUUUAGUCUUGGUUCUUUCUCUUAUUAUUAGGAAAUGUCCAUGCACUGCCCUUAGCCAAAUGUCACAUGUACUCCUGGGAUAAGGACAACUUCGGUAAUGAGCUUUUCCCAUUGCUUCUUUCUCCAUAUCCAAGACAGUAAAUUUCAAACCCAUACUGUAAAAUCUGUAUAGCCUUUGUGUCUGUGGAUUGUCAAUGAUGUAAUUCUGUGUAUUCGUUCAGACAUUUUAAAAGACAUUCUUCAGAGUGAGCUGGACCGGCUCCCAGUCUUUAACCUUUACAGAGACAAGGAAGAGGAGGAUGAGGAAACAAGAAAGAACCGAUACAGACCACCGGAUCUCCACUGUGUCCACCUGCUCCAAAUACUAUGUUCUCCGGGACUCCCUGACCUCCAGCUUGUCUGUGCCCUCCACCCUGUCUGUAUGUGUGAAAAACAUCAGUCAUGUGGACUCAAUCAUCCAUUUACUGGUGUAGACAGAUGUGCCUGUAUUGAAUUUCCUUGUAUCCUACAAUGUUUCACAGUGUAUCUGAAUGCAGUGUUGAGAUGUAGUACCAGUCAAAAGUUGACACACCUACACAUUCAAAGGUUUUUCUUCAUUUUUACUAUUUCAUACAUUGUAGAAUAAUAGUGAAGACAUCACAACUAUGAAAUAACACAUCAUCGAACCCUGGAAUGAGUAGGCGUGUCCAAACUUAGAAUACACAAGGUGCAAUACCGAAAUUUGGUUGUGCAUCAGCUAUUUUUCUUGGUACUGUAUAUCAGUCACUCAAUUUGAUUGAUCAUUUAGUCUAGCCAUCUAUCUAAACUUGUAGUAAUCAUGGUCGAAUUCCGACCCUUUACUCAGGGGCCCCCAUUGGUUCUGACUUAGCAUAUGUGGACAACUACAAAUACCUAGGUGUCUGGCUAGACUAUAAAUUCUCCUUCCAGACUCAUAUUAAGCAUCUCCAAUCCAAAAUUAAAUCUAGAGUCGGCUUCCUAUUUCGCAAUAAAGCCUCCUUCACUCACGUUGCCAAACAUACCCUCGUAAAACUGACUAUCCUACCGAUCCUCGACUUCAGCGAUGUCAUUUACAACAUAGCCUCCAACACUCUGCUCAGAAAACUGGAUGCAAUCUAUCGCAGUGCCAUCCGUUUUGUCACCAAAGCCCCAUAUACCACCCACCACUACUAACAAAUUGAUGUCGUUAGUCACUCUAACUCAGAUAUCAUAUUAACAGGUGAGUGGGGGCAGUGGGACCACCUUCCCUGUGUGUCUGGACCAGGAUGAGAAGAAGAUCACCCAAUGUGUCAUCAGAUACAGUAUCAAUUAAACCAACCACAGGCAUGAUCAUGUGCUGCCAAUAUACAGUAUAUUACAGAAUUAUUUUACAUGACAUGUUGCUGACCCAAUAAUUAUUUUGUUGUGUGUAGGUGUGAGGUGUCAUUGUGCUGCAAACCAGGCAGCGGUUCUGACUGGAGGUCUCACAGGAGACGGCCUGGUCAGGUCCAGCCACUGCACCCCUCCUUCUGCUCCCUGCUCUGCCUGCCCAUCACCUCCUGUGGCUCUCAACUGUCAUAAAACACUGGACUAGGCUACUCUCUCUCCUAAACCACUCAGACAUAAACACCCACAUGUCCUAAUAAUAAUGUAUUCCAUUGAGCAUGAAGCUUUUAUCCAAAGCAACAUACAGUCAUGUAUACAUACAGUUGAAGUUGGAAAUUGACAUACACCUUAGCCAAAUACAUUUCAACUCAGUUUUUCAAAAUUCCUGACAUUUAAUCCUAGUAAA